rnacentral:rRNA from 1 species
CAGCAGCCACGGGAAUACGAAGGGGGCUAGCGUUGCUCGGAAUGACUGGGCGUAAAGGGCGCGUAGGCGGCGGCCAAAGUCAGGCGUGAAAUUCCCGGGCUCAACCUGGGGGCUGCGUUUGAUACUUGGUUGCUUGAGUGGGGAAGAGGGUCGUGGAAUUCCCAGUGUAGAGGUGAAAUUCGUAGAUAUUGGGAAGAACACCGGUGGCGAAGGCGGCGACCUGGUCCUUUACCGACGCUGAGGCGCGAAAGCGUGGGGAGCAAACAGGAUUAGAUACCCGCGUAGUCCCUGUCUCUUAUAC